rnacentral:lncRNA from 1 species
UCGGCACCACCACCCACAACCGCCAGGCCAAGCUCCGCGCUCAUGGAUGCGACCCACAAGCAGCGGCAGCUGCCACUUCCAGUAUCCAUUUUCAUGACUUUGAAAUCCCUACCUUUUCAUGUCCUUCUGCAAACCCAAAUGCAAAAAACAAAUUCCCUUCUCACCUGCUUCCGGCUUUCUACGCCUCUGUAUCUAAUCUCCGAGAACCGGUGUCUUUUCUUCUCCGCUCGCUUUCUUGCGAAGCAAGAAAGAUUAUUGUUAUUCAUGAUUCUUUAAUGGGGUCAGUAGUUCAAGAAGUUCGGUUCAUUUCCAAUGCAGAAUCUUACACUUUCCACAGCGUAUCUGCUUUUACUCUCUGCUUGUUUCUUUCGGAGAAAAUGGGGAGAAAUAUAAAGCUAAAUGAAACGAUCCCAGAAGAACUUCCUUCCCUUGAAGGUUGUUUUACCAAUGAGUUCUUGGAUUUCACCGCCUCCCAGUAUGAUUACCAUAAGUUCAAUUCAGGUUGUAUUUACAACACUAGCAGAUUAAUAGAAGGUGCUUACAUAGACUUAAUUGAAAACGAAGUGAAAGAAUCAAUGCAGAAGAACAUCAAGAAGCACUGGGCAUUAGGGCCUUUUAAUCCGUUAACCAUACCGGACAAAGAACGUUUACAAGAACAGCACUUUUGCUUAAAAUGGCUAGACAAACACGAAAGAAACUCGGUUAUUUAUGUGUCGUUUGGUACUACGACGACUCUGAAUAAUGAACAGAUCAAGCAAUUAGCCAUUGGUUUAAAGCGAAGCAAUGAAAAAUUCAUCUGGGUACUAAGAGAUGCUGAUAAAGGAGAUGUUUUUAAUAAAGACAGUGAGAGAAAGGCUGAACUACCAAAAGGGUAUGAAGAUUCAAUACAAGGGAUGGGAAUAGUUGUAAGAGACUGGGUGCCCCAACUGGAGAUUUUAGCCCACCAAGCAAUAGGAGGUUUUAUGAGUCAUUGUGGUUGGAAUUCUUGCAUGGAGAGUAUUACUAUGGGAGUGCCAAUAGCAGCUUGGCCAAUGCAUUCAGAUCAACCAAGAAAUGCAGUUUUAAUAACUGAUGUUCUGAAGAUCGGGGUUAUUGUUAGGGAUUGGAGUCGUAGAGAUGAGAUUGUGACCUCGAAAAUGGUUGAAACUUGUGUUAAGAGCUUAAUGGCUUCAGAUGAAGGAGAUGGAAUGAGAAAAAGAGCUGCAGAAUUCGGUGACUCGUUGAAACGGUCGAUGGGUGAAGGUGGAGUUUCUCGCAUGGAAAUAGACUCUUUUAUUGCUUAUAUUUCUAGUUAAAUUUUAAGUUUGGUUAUAUUAUCUGUGUUAUGUGUUUUCUAUUUGGUCGUCUUUUUAAAGCAAGCCUCCAACUCCAAUGAGAUUGGAAUUUGAAGAUUAUUGCAAGUUUGAAUGGUUACUGUAAAUGUAUUUUUAUGUCUAUCAUCUGUGGGGCGGACUCAUAUACCGAUUUUAGGUAAGUCCAAUCCUCUACAAUUAACUAGGAAGAUAUUUUUUUCAAUUGACUUUGAUUGGGUAUUUGAUCAGUUUGCAUUUAGGGUUUUUAAAAUAAUUAGGAAAAUAUGAAUGUUUCCUUUUUGUUAGUUUUAUGGACAGAAGGCAUAGAACCAAAAAUUUAGUUGAAAGAAGUGAAAAUUCAUCUCAUCGAUCGGUUUUAUUUAGAUUCCUUUCAUUUUAUAAUAAUAGCCAUGACUUUGUUCUUCUAUCAUUUGGUGGCAAAAAGAAGAAGUUUUGUAAGAAAGAAAAACAAAAGAAAAAAUGAAACUGAGUAUUCAAGUUCUUUUACAUCUUAAUCAAAACUAUAUGAUUGCGAAGAAGACAGAUAGACAUGUCCAUGCAGGGAGGUACAACAAGCCAUUUGGAACCGUGGAUGGAUAGCAUCUUUUUUAAGCAUUAUUGGUUUCUUUCUAUCGAAUUGAAUGAAUUGGGAUAAGAUACCCAAAAGCCUAGACUUUAGAUGGUUCAAUUUCUUCUCAAAUAAUAGCCAUCAAAUCAUAAUCGAAGAGGGAAAAACAAAAAGGGUUCUGCACCAAAGCCAACAACUGUAAUCCUAACAAUAAUUCCCAUGUUCAUACUCUUGUAUGAAAAAAAAAAAAAAAAAAAAAACAUGUCAUGAGUUGCUGCUAUCCAAACAAUUGUGAUCAGUUUGGUUGGAACGAAUACUUUGGAUAGAAAAAAAAUCGAAUACAAGACUUCUCACUCUUUAUAUAAGAAAGGUAAUAAAAUUAAUAAGACUAUAUUUUAUUGGAAUAUCGGUUUUAAAUAUAAAUAUAAAUUUUUAAAAAACAUAUAAAUUGGUUCUGUGUUAUAAUCAAAUUAAUACAUGAAAAAUUUUAACUAUAGUGUUCUUAAAUUACGAUUUUAUUAACACUUUGAUCCUUCUAUAAAAAAUAUAAGGAUUAAGGUGUCAAUGGAAACUAUAAAGGAAGGACUAGAGUAGUAAUGAAAAUCAUAAAUUAUAUAUUUUAUAAUUAAUUAUGUUAUAAUUUAGGGACCAAUCAAUCAAUUAAUAAUUAAAAGAAGCUAUUUUGGAUGGAAAGUUCAACGUGUUUAGGGACUAUAAAUAAAUUAUAGAUAUCCUAAUUAAUUUUAAAAAUAGAAAGUUUUCCGAGUUAAUUUGACUAUAAUUAAAAUAUAUUAGUGUAUUAGUUAGGUUUGUUAGGCGUUGUCCGUUGUGGCGGGAAAGGUAUUGGACCAUAUAAACGUGAGCAUGUGCUGGAAGAGCUAUUUUCCCUUUGAGAGUGCUUCCAUGACCAUAUAAACCUAAGUAAGCUAUGAUUUUAGCUCCUAUAAUAUAUAUAGCUUUAACCUUUUUUUCCUUAGCAAAUCUAUGUGGAUAAGGAUUUGGACUAGGACUUCACAUUUUGGCUUUUAGCUGGUGCUUCUGUUUACGGGCAAUGUUCUGAUGUUUACAAAUUGAAAUCAAAACGUGAAUUUCAAUUAUGUUUUUUCGAUUAUGUUUUGUUUUGAUAGGUUGAAUAUCCUUAGGGAUGAAAAUAUAAAUUUAAUUUUUUUUAAAAAUGUAUUUUUUCGGAAAAAUUAAAUAUUUUUGUGCUAUAUAAUCCGAAUAUGGAUUACACCACCUCGUUCUAAAAAAAAAAAAUGUUUGUAACACUUGCUAAAAUUAGUUAAAAUCUAUUAUUCAAAUUGUUAUAUCAGCUUAAUAAACAUUAGAACUUAAACAAGAAUAAGUUGAAAAAAAAUAAACAUAAAUUCAGUUAUUUUUUCAUAAAGAAAUAAUAGUGAAGUAAUGAUCGAACUUACCCCUUUUUUUCUUUUUAGGCAAACAUCGGAGAGUUUCUUACCAGUAGCUCCUUUUGUUUUCUUUUGUUCUUUUUUCAGUGUCUUUUCAUAAUUUUCCGAUUUUUUUCUUUUUUUUUUUAUUAUUGUUAGAAAAAAAAUUAUCUCUAACAAAUCUUCUUAGAAAAUAUAUUUUGAAAAACUUAUUUUUAUGUUGUUUGAUUGCAAUACUGAAUGUUCAUUAGAAGAUAUUAAUAUAUUUAACUUAUAGACUCUAAAAUAUUUAGACACGUAAAAAUUUAAUUAACAUCUCAUUUAAUUUAUUGUUAAAUAUGAAAAGGAAAACAAAUAAGAUGAUAAUCCAUGACGGUGAUCAGAAAAAUAUUUCUAUUAAUUUAUUUUCAAAAAUAUAAAUAUGUUAUUAUUAUUAUUAUUAAAAUUAUCAUAUUGUGACUAGCUUCAAUAGAAUCUAUAUACAUAGAUACAUGUGGGUGUCCAAAAAGAUAGAUAGAAGAUAAAAAAAAAUUGCAUAUAGAAAGCAACAUCUAACUAUUUUAAUUAUGUAUAUCUACCUCCUUCAUAACUAGUUAUAUAAUAUGUGGCCAUAGACAUAGUAACUAUAACCCUUCAAGAAAUGAAUACACAGUGGAUAAGAGAAUUUAGGGCCUGCAGAUUUUUCCUCAGACAAACAGUAAUUAAUACAGAUGGGAAAGUUUGUUAGCUGUUUUCCCAACUGACAUAACCAUCAAACUUUAAGAAUUAAAGAUUGUGGAGAUGGGAAAGUUUGCUGGCUGUCUCUUCAAUUCAUUUGUCAUGUAGCUUCUUUAAUUCAUCUUUUGGUUCAUUCUUUUUGUUUUUAGAUAACAUUAAUUAAUUUAUGUAAGUUUAUGAAACAUUUGAUAGAUUAUGACUUAUUUAGGAUAUGUUUGGUUUACAUUAAUGAAACUGAAGGUCUUUAACUCAGGUGGUAGAUAGCUAAACUUAAUAAAAUUGAUGAGCAUAUAUAUACAUAUGAAUUCAAUAGCGAAUAUAAAUAUUUGAACUUACUUUAUAUAUAAUAAAUUGAUUUUGUCUAGCUCAGAUUGAUUUGUAUUGAUUCAUUCCUAGCUUUGUGUUGGUGUAAAACAUGUACACAAUGUACAUAUCUAUCAUUCCUAGCUUUGUGUUUGUGUAAUGCAAUGCAAUAUAAUAAAAAAUGUAAUACAAUGAAAAAUGUAAUGUAAUGGAAUGUAAUCAAGGUUCCAUAAUUAUGUUUAGUAAUGUAAUUGAGAAAAUUUAUUGAAUGUAAUCGCCGUUCCUUUUUAUGUUUAUUUGUGAAUAUGUAAUGUAAUUAGUACACCUCCACCACAAUCACUACUCUACCACCAUCAUCACUACCACAACCAUUACUCCAUCCCUCCAUCAUCACCACAUCAUUAUUAUACCAAAAAAUAUUUGAACAAAAAAUUAUUCGCUAUUUAUGCUAUUAAAGACCAUUUAGAUUUAUAAAUUUAUUUAAACUAAAAAAUUAAAAGAAUGUAAUCUAAAAAAAUGUAAUAUAACAAAAUAAAAGUUAAAGUCAUUAGUAAUUGAUUUUUUCAUAUAUUUUCAUUGAAUAAAUUAAAUUACAACAUAAAAUUAUGUGCAUUUUGAUAUUUUUUGUGCCUUUUCGUUUUAUUUUUUUCCAUUUGUAUAAUAAAAUAAAAGAAUAGAAUAUAAUUUUUAUUCCGCAUUGCAUAUUAAAUAAUAAAAUAUAAUUUUUAUUAAAUGGUGGUCAUGGUAGAGUGAUUGUGGUGGUGGUGGAGCGGUGGUGGUGGUGUUUGAAUGGUUAUAGUGGUGGUAGAGUGGUUGAAGUGGUGGUGGUAGUGGUGAUCAAGCGGUUGUGGUAGUGUUAGAAUUUUGAUUGGAGUGACUUGAUGUAACUGGUAUUACAUGUGCUUAAUAUAAUGACCAAUACAUGUGUUUUUUUUUUUUUUUUUUAUGUAAUGAAUAUUACAGCAAUUUAAGGAAUGGAGAUUACAUAGGUAAUCUCAAUUACAUUACAAUGUCAAAAAAAAAAAAGGUCUAACCAAACAAUGUAAUUAAUGAUGUAAUAUAAUUCUCAUUCCAUUACAUGAUUAAUUACACCAUACCAAAUAUGGCAUUACAUUUUCUUUGAGAUUUUCUAUGUUCACUUAUCACAAUUCUUAAAUUUUUUUUCCUAUCUUUCAAUUGGAAGAAAUAACACUUACGCACACAAAGAAAUAUACAUGAAGGAAGAAACAAGGAUUUGAAUCUCUAAAACAUUAGUAUCCCUAAGGGUAUCUAAUAAUUAAAACUUUUUAUUAUGAGGUUUCAUAUUUGAUUCCUAUUUGAAUUUCGACAUAUAUUAAAAAUAUUUUUAACAUUAAAAUUUUAGAACCUAAGGGUGUCUUUGGUACGCUGUAAUCAAUCAUGUAAUAGAACGAAAAUUACAUUACAUGACUGAUUACAUUAUUUGAUUACACUAUUUUUUAACAUUGUAAAAUAAUAAAAAUUACAUAUAUAAUCUUCAUUAUUUAAAUUGAUGUAAUAUUCAUUAUAUAAAAAAACACAUAUAUUAUCAAUUAUAUCAAGUACAUGUAAUACCUAUUAUAUCAAAUCAACCCAAUCAAAAUUCUCAUUCAAGGCUAUUUAACAUUACUAUGUCAGCACCACAACCACCAUCACCGUUCUACCACCUCAUAAUAAAAUGAUUAAAAAUGUUUGAAGGACAUUAUAUAUUUUUCACCCCAUUUGUACUCUUAUUGUGCCUGGCACAAGUUAAUUAUGCCAAAUGUGUUUUCUAUUUUAACAUAUAUAUAUAAAAAAAUUCAUUGCAAAUUUGAAAUAUCAAAUAAAAAUCUCUAAAAUAUCAGUACUAUAAAUUUGAAAUUUAUUGCACAACUUAAGAUGAAGCAAAAUAUCUUUGGAAAAAGUACCCAUGGUAUUUACAUCUUUUAGGAACACUCCAUUUUUAGACAACAAAAUAAGUUUUUGAUUGUCUUUGUGAGCAUGUAAAAUCAUUCUCAACAUAAAUCAUAAUAAUCUUUGCAACUAUGAAAUAUCUUUUUCUUUUCACUGUGAAAUCUUCACUUCAAUGCAUUAUUACAGAUUUCCAUUAGAACUUAAUUGGAGCUUUUCCUUUACUCCAGCAAACCACAUGUAGUUAAUUAUUAGCUCACAACUUUCUUUUUGUUUCAAUUUUUCUUUGAUUGAUUGAUUGAGAUCACUAGUUGUACAAAUUUUACUUAAGGAUAAGCAAUUUUACAAAUUAACAUUAGUAUCCUUUAUUAUGUUGAAAUUGAGAUUUAAGUUUAUAAUUAUUCUAUAGUUCUAAAACUAGUCAAUUAUCACUAUGGAAAAUUUUUAUCUACAUUCGGUGUAUAGAUCCACCCAUAUAAUAAAUUUUUUUAUUCAAAUGAGGAUAUUUCUGAUUAUUCACCGAAAAAGAGAUAAAUCGGUAAUAAGCUUUUAAAAUAUUAUUCAUUUUGUUUACUUCCGGGAAUAUUCCUUGUGUUCCCCUUAUAAAAAGGGUUCUAUCUAUUCCAUAUGCCGAACUGAAACUUAUCCUAAACGUAUUUUCAAACAGAAAACCAAAUGGCUAACCACCAAAGCCAAGGCCAACAAGCACAUGCCCUAUAUGGCUUUAAACAAACAAAAGUUAUUGUAGUUAUGGUGCCUCUCCCUGCACAAGGCCACCUCAACCAACUACUACAACUCUCCAGGCUAAUCUUAUCCUACGACAUUCCGGUCCACUUCGUUGGCACCACCACCCAUAACCGCCAAGCCAAGCUCCGCGUUCAUGGGUGGGACCCACAAGCAGCGGCAGCUGCCACUUCCAGUAUCCAUUUUCAUGACUUUGAAAUCCCUACCUUUUCAUGUCCUUCUGCAAACCCAAAUGCAAAAAACAAAUUCCCUUCUCACCUGCUUCCGGCUUUCUACGCCUCUGUAUCUAAUCUCCGAGAACCGGUGUCUUUUCUUCUCCGCUCGCUUUCUUGCCAAGCAAGAAAGAUUAUUGUUAUUCAUGAUUCUUUAAUGGGGUCAGUAGUUCAAGAAAUUCAGUUCAUUUCCAAUGCAGAAUCUUACACUUUCCACAGUGUAUCUGCUUUUACUCUCUGCUUGUUUCUUUCGGAGAA